rnacentral:rRNA from 1 species
CCUACGGGUGGCAGCAGUGAGGAAUAUUGGUCAAUGGACGCAAGUCUGAACCAGCCAUGCCGCGUGCAGGAAGACGGCUCUAUGAGUUGUAAACUGCUUUUGUACGGGAAUAAAGGCAGAUACGUGUAUCUGUCUGAAAGUAUCGUACGAAUAAGGAUCGGCUAACUCCGUGCCAGCAGCCGCGGUAAUACGGAGGAUUCAAGCGUUAUCCGGAUUUAUUGGGUUUAAAGGGUGCGUAGGCGGUCGGUUAAGUUAGAGGUGAAAGCCCGAGGCUCAACCUCGGAAUUGCCUUUGAUACUGGUAGGCUAGAGAGGAGGAGCGGUAGGCGGAAUGUAUGGUGUAGCGGUGAAAUGCGUAGAGAUCACGCAGAACUCCGAUUGCGAAGGCAGCUUACCGAGCU